CUGAGAUUGAGAUUCACUUUGAUAACAACAGUCACAAAGCACCUACUGUUUAACAGUCCCUAUACACAGUGGGGUGAAUUGAGAACAGUGUGCCAGCUUUCAUUUUAAAUGUGACUGGUUUUCAUUUCUGGUUCUUCCUUUCAUUUUUCUGGUUCUUCAUAUAAGAUCAUUUUUGUUUUUCCUGAGCUAAUGCCCUGAUUUUUAAUUUCAUUAAUUCUUAUUAAGGUGUAUGGGAAUUAAUACAAUCACAUCAUAAGGUCAUACAUUUGCAAAUAAAUAUUUAUGGACUUCAACAAAUUAAAUAAUUCAAAUAUAGUUCAAUAAAUUGUGAAAAGACAUUGAUCUGCACACUGCAUUGUGCACAUCUUUAAAAAAAAAAAAACAAAAACACACAACAAAUCUUUUCAACUGGUAUUAUGAGCUUGAUAGCAUAUAACACUUCCACUGGAACCAUCACAGUUUAAUUGCAUGGUACUGAGAGUUCAGACUCAGGGAAGAAUAAUUCCUUUGAGAAAUUAUCGUUUGGUUGAUGCAUUUAAGUCAACAAGGCUUCUCACAAAAAGAUAUUUCUACAGAAAUCAUUUUCUUUCUCUCAUCACACCUUUUAAUUAAGUCUAAAGCCUUGCAUGGCUGUAAUCAAUGUACACAAAAAAAGUAAGCAGACAGCUACAAACACAAGUGAGGGAAAGAAAGGAUGCCAUGACUUACUAAACAAAGAUGUGACAGAUUUACUGGAGGAAAAAGAAAACAGAGAGAGCAGAAAGAAAGAUUACAACCCAACAGGAUUCUCUGAUUUUACAUUGUUCUUUUCUUCUACUUUCAUUUCACUAGAACAUGGAAUGGAUGCCAGAGAUGCAUCAAACUGUCCAAGUAUAAUUUAAGUAGUCAGGGAACAGAUGUUCACAACAGUUUCUGGUCAGUGCAGGGAUUUUAUUACCUGCCCACAAGCUCCUACCCACUGUGAAAAUUGUAUUUCUUGCAGAUGUACUAUAUCAGAUUAUAUCAAAUUACAUGUAUUCUAUAAAGUUGAAUGACCCUAAUCAACUAGCAAUGUAAUACAAUAUCUCCUCCCUUCCUCUUAUCCUCCCUUUAUCCAAG
rnacentral:lncRNA from 1 species